rnacentral:lncRNA from 1 species
CAUUCGAAGUUAAGAAUAUAUUUUCAUAUUCGUGAACAUUUAUUCAGAGAUAAAUGAUUUCUUUAUGCUCAUGAACUUUAUCCAUAAAAAUGUCAGUACGCAUCCAAAAAAUGUUCAUCAAACUAUAAAAAUAUUCAAUUGUACCAAUAAAAAUAAAAUUGCCGAUAGGAAGAGUUCUAAAGAAACAGCGGAAAACAAAGAAAUAAAAUAAAAAGGCAAACUAAAUGUAGGGUGUUGAUUAAACUUGCGACUCAUGAUGGUGAUGAGGCUGUUUUGGUUGGGCAAGACGCCUCCAAAUUAUUUAUGCCUGUAUCCAUAUGCGCGCUCAUUGUCUGCCUGUGAAAGCAUGAGAAUAAC